rnacentral:sRNA from 1 species
UACCUUCAAGAAGCGUCCUCUUCUGUUCUCACCGAUAUCGAAGUAAAACA